CGAAAGCCUGACGGAGCAACGCCGCGUGAGGGAUGGAGGCCUUUGGGCUGUAAACCUCUUUUCUCAAGGAAGAAGAUCUGACGGUACUUGAGGAAUAAGCCACGGCUAAUUCCGUGCCAGCAGCCGCGGUAAUACGGGAGUGGCGAGCGUUAUCCGGAAUUAUUGGGCGUAAAGCGUCCGCAGGCGGCCGUUUAAGUCUGUUGUUAAAUCGUGGAGCUCAACUCCAUCACGGCAAUGGAAACUGUUCGGCUUGAGUAUGGUAGGGGCAGAGGGAAUUUCCAGCGUAGCGGUGAAAUGCGUAGAUAUCGGGAAGAACACCAGUGGCGAAAGCGCUCUGCUGGGCCAUUACUGACGCUCAUGGACGAAAGCCAGGGGAGCGAAAGGGAUUAGAUACCCCUGUAGUCCUGGCCGUAAACGAUGAACACUAGAUGUUGGGGGAAUCGACCCCCUCGGUGUCGUAGCUAACGCGUUAAGUGUUCCGCCUGGGGAGUACGCACGCAAGUGUGAAACUCAAAGGAAUUGACGGGGGCCCGCACAAGCGGUGGAGUAUGUGGUUUAAUUCGAUGCUACGCGAAGAACCUUACCAAGGCUUGACAUCCUGCGAAUCUCUAAGAAAUUAGAGAGUGCCUUCGGGAACGCAGUGACAGGUGGUGCAUGGCUGUCGUCAGCUCGUGUCGUGAGAUGUUGGGUUAAGUCCCGCAACGAGCGCAACCCACGUUUUUAGUUGCCAGCAUUCAGUUGGGCACUCUAGAAAGACUGCCGGUGACAAACCGGAGGAAGGAGUGGACGACGUCAAGUCAUCAUGCCCCUUACGCCUUGGGCUACACACGUACUACAAUGCUGCGGACAAAGAGUAGCGAUCUUGCGAAAGUUAGCUAAUCUCAUAAACCGUGGCUCAGUUCAGAUCGUAGGCUGCAACUCGCCUACGUGAAGGAGGAAUCGCUAGUAAUCGCAGGUCAGCAUACUGCGGUGAAUACGUUCCCGGGCCUUGUACACACCGCCCGUCACACCAUGGAAGUUGGCCAUGCCCGAAGUCGUUACUCUAACCUUUUGGAAGAGGGCGCCGAAGGCAGGGCUAAUGACUGGGGUGAAGUCGUAACAAGGUAGCCGUAGCGGAAGCUGCGGCUGGAUCACCUCCUAA
rnacentral:rRNA from 1 species